AGAACACGACCGGCGCACGGGUGAGUAACGCGUAUGCAACCUACCUUUGGCACGGGGACAGCCCGGGGAAACCCGGAUUAAUACCCGGUAUAGUCUGUUAUACACCUGUAUAAAAGACGAGAGCUACGGCGGCCAAAGAUGGGCAUGCGUGCCAUUAGUUAGUUGGUAGGGUAACGGCCUACCAAGGCAUCGAUGGCUACGGGGUCUAAAAGGAUGAGCCCGCACACUGGUACUGAGACACGGACCAGACUCCUACGGGAGGCAGCAGUGAGGAAUAUUGGUCAAUGGGUGGAAGCCUGAACCAGCCAUGCCGCGUGCAGGAAGACGGCCUUAUGGGUUGUAAACUGCUUUUCUACGGGACGAACGGCUCUGACGCGUCAGGGAUUGACGGUACCGUAGGAAUAAGCAUCGGCUAACUCCGUGCCAGCAGCCGCGGUAAUACGGAGGAUGCGAGCGUUAUCCGGAUUUAUUAGGUUUAAAGGGUGCGUAGGCUGGGCCAAUAAGUCAGUGGUUGAAAGUCCGCGGCUCAAACCGUGGGAUUGCCAUUGAAACUGUCGUUCUUGA
rnacentral:rRNA from 1 species